rnacentral:rRNA from 1 species
UACGGGGGGAGCAAGCGUUGUUCGGAUUUACUGGGCGUAAAGGGCGCGUAGGCGGCCACCGCAAGUCAGUUGUGAAAGCUCUGGGCUUAACCCAGAAAGGUCAGCUGAUACUGCGGGGCUAGAGUGCAGAAGGGGCAACUGGAAUUCUCGGUGUAGCGGUGAAAUGCGUAGAUAUCGAGAGGAACACCUGCGGCGAAGGCGGGUUGCUAGGCUGACACUGACGCUGAGGCGCGAAAGCCAGGGGAGCAAACGGG